ACGUCUUCUCCAGUGGGAGUGAUGGGCGCCGGCUGCACGGAUCCCGGAGCCUGACUGCUGUCUACAGCGGCCUGAAGGGUGAGAAGCACGGCCGCGGAAGCAGAUACCAGAUGGAGUCUUGCUUAGUCGCCCAAGCUGGAGUAGUGUGGCUCGAUCUCAGCUCUGCAACCUCUGCCUCCCAGGGUUCAAGCAAUUCUCCUGCCUCAGUUUCCAGAGUAGCUGGAAUUAUAGUGCAGAUUCUGGGAUAGUGAACUCCACGGAAGACUCAGAAACCAAGUUCUAAUUCAGUUGCCAUGAAAACUUAAGGUGAGAGGAUUGUCAACCAGUGAAAAAUACGGAGGAAAACACUAACAGAAUAUGAUGAAGAAGCCAAGACUUGGGCUGCUUGCAUUACAUUAACCGAGGUUUACCCGCAGCGAGGCUGCCUCCAAAGCAUCCGGAGUUUGCAACCAUCACUGUCCACCCCGCGAGCUGCAAUAGUGCGAGAACUACAAUUCCCGUGGGGCUGUGCGGGAGCAUCGCGAGAGUUACCUUAACUGUGGCGGCGGGAAGGCGGACCCUGCAGCUGGCU
rnacentral:sRNA from 1 species